AUUGAACGCUGGCGGCAGGCUUAACACAUGCAAGUCGAGCGGGGUGAUGGUGCUUGCACUAUCACUUAGCGGCGGACGGGUGAGUAAUGCUUAGGAAUCUGCCUAUUAGUGGAGGACAACAUCUCGAAAGGGAUGCUAAUACCGCAUACGUCCUACGGGAGAAAGCAGGGGAUCACUUGUGACCUUGCGCUAAUAGAUGAGCCUAAGUCGGAUUAGCUAGUUGGUGGGGUAAAGGCCUACCAAGGCGACGAUCUGUAGCGGGUCUGAGAGGAUGAUCCGCCACACUGGGACUGGGACACGGCCCGGACUCCUACGGGAGGCAGCAGUGGGGAAUAUUGGACAAUGGGGGGAACCCUGAUCCAGCCAUGCCGCGUGUGUGAAGAAGGCCUUAUGGUUGUAAAGCACUUUAAGCGAGGAGGAGGCUCUUUUGGUUAAUACCCAAGAUGAGUGGACGUUACUCGCAGAAUAAGCACCGGCUAACUCUGUGCCAGCAGCCGCCGCCG
rnacentral:rRNA from 1 species